CUACGGGGGGCACCAGUGAGGAAUAUUGCACAAUGGGGGGAACCCUGAUGCAGCAACGCCGCGUGGAGGAUGACGCAUUUCGGUGUGUAAACUCCUUUUAUAUGUCAAGAAAAUGACGGUAGCAUAUGAAUAAGCACCAGCUAACUCCGUGCCAGCAGCCGCGGUAAUACGGAGGGUGCAAGCGUUAAUCGGAAUCACUGGGCGUAAAGGACGCGUAGGCGGGUUGGAAAGUCAGGUGUGAAAUCCUACAGCUUAACUGUAGAACUGCACUUGAAACUUCUAAUCUAGAGUAUGGGAGGGGGAGAUGGAAUUAGUGGUGUAGGGGUAAAAUCCGUAGAUAUCACUAGGAAUACCUAAAGCGAAGGCGAUCUCCUGGAACAUUACUGACGCUAAGGCGUGAAAGCGUGGGGAGCAAACAGGAUUAGAUACCCCCGUAGUC
rnacentral:rRNA from 1 species